rnacentral:lncRNA from 1 species
AUACCACGAGGCAGUGAGGUGUAGUGGUAAGAGACUCAGAGAAACUUGGGUUCUGGUUUCUGCUCUGUCACUUGCUAGAAGUUCAGGGCCUCAGUAUCCUUAUCUGUACAGUGGGGACAAUACCACCUUUUCAGAGUAAUGUUAUGAUUAAGAGCUAAUGUAUGUAGAGCCCCUUGCACAGUGCCUGGCAGAGUAAGUACUCAAUAAAUGUGAGCCAUUGUUGUUAUUAGACUUUGCAGUGAAGAGAGAACUCAGUGUGGGCUGGUGAAGUAGCAGAGGCACCAGAGGAGAACUGGACUUGAAGUUUCAACUUUCUUUUAGCUCAGAAGCUGUAAGGUUCCAUUUAGCACCCAGAAGAUAGGCACGAAACAUGCUAAAGGGUGGUCAGAGUGCACUACUGGGAAGUUGGACUUCUAGCCUCACCAUCAUGUUCCACUGCCUGCACCAUUACACCAUGGCUUAUGUUGCCCACCUCCUACCUAAUUUUCUUCCACUUCCAUCUGUCAGAAUCCAUCAGGGUUUAGUUAAAAUGCCUAUCUUUUCUCUGGCUAUGUAAGUUUUGUAUACACGGAACUUUGGGCUGGUUGGAAGAGGACUUAGAGGUGGAUGAUAUCUUUUUCACUGGCUUUCAAAUGUUUUGAAGAAGUGAAAUCCUUUUUUUCAAAUGAAAUCUUACAUGGAAGCUCAAUAUAUGCAACCAACUGAAGCAUAGCUAUUAUGAAUAAGUAGCAGUUUUGAAGGUGGGAGGCUUAGAGCUCCACUUGCUUCCCUUAUUUGCCUUCCACCUACCUCCAAUCCCCAGGGAGGCUCUUCCCAAGAAGUUCAAAGAAGCCACAGAGCAUCUUUGAAAACCAUAUUUCCAGUCUGCUCUGUUAAAUUUACAGCUGAGAAAACAGAUCCCCAGAGUGAUCAGAGCACUUACCCUUGGUCACAGAGCUAAUGAGUAGCAGAUUUAGAACUAGAAGCUCUCUUCUCUUAAAUCCUGUAGUCCUUAGAGUUGGAACCAUUAGAGUUGGGACCACACAUUUUAGUAUUCAAUUAUUUUCUGUCUCAUGUCAGCUGCUCUUGGAGUCUUUUCUCUCCAAU